rnacentral:rRNA from 1 species
AACGCUCGCGGCGUGCCUAAUACAUGCAAGUCGAACGAACUCUGGUAAUGAUUGGUACUUGUAUCAUGAAUUACAUUUGAGUGAGUGGCGAACUGGUGAGUAACACGUGGGAAACCUGCCCAGAAGUGGGGGAUAACACCUGGAAACAGAUGCUAAUACCGCAUAAUAGCUUGAACCGCAUGGUUCGAGUUUGAAAGAUGGCUUCGGCUAUCACUUUUGGAUGGUCCCGCGGCGUAUUAGCUAGAUGUGAGGUAACGGCUCACCAUGGCAAUGAUACGUAGCCACCUGAGAGGGUAAUCGGCCACAUUGGGACUGAGACACGGCCCAAACUCCUACGGGAGGCAGCAGUAGGGAAACUUCCACAAUGGACGAAAGUCUGAUGGAGCAACGCCCGUGAGUGAAGAAGGGUUUCGGCUCGUAAAGCUCUGUUGUUAAAGAAGAACAUAUCUGAGAGUAACCGUUCAGGUAUUGACGGUAUUUAACCAGAAAGCCACGGUAACUACGUGCCAGCAGCCGCGGUAAUACGUAGGUGGCAAGCGUUAUCC